UACGAGACUCAAGCUUGCCAGUAUCAGAUGCAGUUCCCAGGUUGAGCCCGGGGAUUUCACAUCUGACUUAACAAACCGCCUGCGUGCGCUUUACGCCCAGUAAUUCCGAUUAACGCUUGCACCCUCCGUAUUACCGCGGCUGCUGGCACGGAGUUAGCCGGUGCUUCUUCUGCGGGUAACGUCAAUGAGCAAAGGUAUUAACUUUACUCCCUUCCUCCCCGCUGAAAGUACUUUACAACCCGAAGGCCUUCUUCAUACACGCGGCAUGGCUGCAUCAGGCUUGCGCCCAUUGUGCAAUAUUCCCCACUGCUGCUCCCGUAGGAGUCUGGAACGUGUCUCA
rnacentral:rRNA from 1 species